GUGAAAUGCAUAGAUAUGAUACAGAACUCCGAUAGCGAAGGCAGCUCACUAAAUUGUAACUGACGCUCAGGCACGAAAGCGUGGGGAGCAAACAGGAUUAGAUACCCUGGUAGUCCACGCCGUAAACGAUGAUCACUCGCUGUUGGCGAUACACAGUCAGCGGCUUAGCGAAAGUGUUAAGUGAUCCACCUGGGGAGUACGAUCGCAAGGUUGAAACUCAAAGGAAUUGACGGGGGCCCGCACAAGCGGAGGAGCAUGUGGUUUAAUUCGAUGAUACGCGAGGAACCUUACCUGGGCUUAAAUGUAGAACGACCGUUCGGGAAACCGAAUUUCUCUUCGGAGCGUUUUACAAGGUGCUGCAUGGUUGUCGUCAGCUCGUGCCGUGAGGUGUCGGGUUAAGUCCCAUAACGAGCGCAACCCCUAUUCUUAGUUGCCAUCAGAUAAUGCUGGGGACUCUAAGGAAACUGCCUACGCAAGUAGUGAGGAAGGUGGGGAUGACGUCAAAUCAGCACGGCCCUUAUGUCCAGGGCUACACACGUGCUACAAUGGUCGGUACAGAGGGUCGCUACCUGGUGACAGGAUGCUAAUCUCAAAAACCGGUCUCAGUUCGGAUCGAAGUCUGCAACUCGACUUCGUGAAGUUGGAUUCGCUAGUAAUCGCAUAUUAGCAAUGGUGCGGUGAAUACGUUCCCGGGCCUUGUACACACCGCCCGUCAAGCCAUGGAAGCUGGGGGUACCUGAAGUCUGUUACCGUAAGGAGCGGCCUAGGGUAAAACUAGUAACUGGGGCUAAGUCGUAACAAGGUA
rnacentral:rRNA from 1 species